CGUACACUCCUGCGGGAGGCAGCAGUGGGGAAUAUUGCACAAUGGGCGCAAGCCUGAUGCAGCCAUGCCGCGUGUAUGAAGAAGGCCUUCGGGUUGUAAAGUACUUUCAGCGGGGAGGAAGGCGAUAAGGUUAAUAACCUUGUUGAUUGACGUUACCCGCAGAAGAAGCACCGGCUAACUCCGUGCCAGCAGCCGCGGUAAUACGGAGGGUGCAAGCGUUAAUCGGAAUUACUGGGCGUAAAGCGCACGCAGGCGGUCUGUCAAGUCGGAUGUGAAAUCCCCGGGCUCAACCUGGGAACUGCAUUCGAAACUGGCAGGCUAGAGUCUUGUAGAGGGGGGUAGAAUUCCAGGUGUAGCGGUGAAAUGCGUAGAGAUCUGGAGGAAUACCGGUGGCGAAGGCGGCCCCCUGGACAAAGACUGACGCUCAGGUGCGAAAGCGUGGGGAGCAAACAGGAUUAGAAACCCCAGUAGUCCCAUG
rnacentral:rRNA from 1 species